AACGGAUCGCGAGUAGCUGCCCUCGGGCAGCGAAAACAUCACGUAGUCGCUUCGUCUCGACACAUUCUGUCCAUCCACUCUCGAUUGUUGACCCCUUGGCUCACGCCAUGAGGGUCAUUGCUGUUUGACAACGGAUGUAUGGUAGAUCGUGGGAUUGAAAGAAUCCUUAUUUGAGAUGACUGUUUCGUAAGAAACAUCACUCGUACGACAAUGCGCGUAGUUCUGCUUGGCGGCUUUUGUAGUCAAGCGAGAGAAGGCAUGUGGGGGAUGCCUGGGCACACGGAGGCGAUGAAGGCCGUGGUAAGCUGCGAGAAGCUCGGGGGAGUGGCACACACGCGGUGAUCCCGAGAUGG
rnacentral:misc_RNA from 1 species